GACGAACGCUGGCGGCGUGCCUAAUACAUGCAAGUUGAGCGAUGAAGAUUGGUGCUUGCACCAAUUUGAAGAGCAGCGAACGGGUGAGUAACGCGUGGGGAAUCUGCCUUUGAGCGGGGGACAACAUUUGGAAACGAAUGCUAAUACCGCAUAACAACUUUAAACAUAAGUUUUAAGUUUGAAAGAUGCAAUUGCAUCACUCAAAGAUGAUCCCGCGUUGUAUUAGCUAGUUGGUGAGGUAAAGGCUCACCAAGGCGAUGAUACAUAGCCGACCUGAGAGGGUGAUCGGCCACAUUGGGACUGAGACACGGCCCAAACUCCUACGGGAGGCAGCAGUAGGGAAUCUUCGGCAAUGGACGAAAGACUGACCGAGCAACGCCGCGUGAGUGAAGAAGGGUUUCGGAUCGUAAAACUCUGUUGGUAGAGAAGAACGUUGGUGAGAGUGGAAAGCUCAUCAAGUGACGGUAACUACCCAGAAAGGGACGGCUAACUACGUG
rnacentral:rRNA from 1 species